rnacentral:rRNA from 1 species
GACGAACGCUGGCGGCGUGCUUAAUACAUGCAAGUCGAACGGACAGGCCCUGCUUUUGUUGGGUGCUCGAGUGGCGAACGGGUGAGUAACACGUGAGUAACCUCCCCUUGACUUUGGGAUAACUUCAGGAAACUGGGGCUAAUACCGGAUAGGAGCUCCUGCUGCAUGGUGGGGGUUGGAAAGUUUCGGCGGUUGGGGCUGGACUCGCGGCUUAUCCGCUUGUUGGUCGGGUAGUUGCUUACCAAGGUUGUGACGGAUAGGCUGCCUUGGCGGGGAAACAGGGACAAUGCGCCUAAGGGACGCAGCAGAAGGCAACCGGACGCAAUGGUGGGGAGCAUGACAGAAUAGGGCGGAGCCUGAUGCGGCGGCCCUCCGUGCGGGAUGACGGCCUUCGGGGUAUGAACAACUUUCGCCUGUAACGAAGCGUGAGUGACGGUAAUUAGUAAGAAAGCACCGGCUAACUACGUG